CAACCAUAAGAAAAGUUAUAAUAUGUCAUAACUUAUAUUAGUAACGAUAACAUUAUAAGAAUUUUUUUUCUAGUGAAGAUACCAAUUAUUGAACAUAAAACUAUUGGAGGAUUAAUUGCAGAUAGUACGUAAUUAGUUUUAAUUUGUAAAAAAAUGUAUAUUGGAGAGUAGAGUGGGAGUAUUGACAAUACGUUCAGAAAUUUAUACUAAAAAUUUAAAGUUAGCUUCAACUCUUUUACAGCAGAACGUCACCUAAUGACCUGCCAACUUUUAAAUUCAGGACUUGAAACCUGUUGCCAGUUCUUACCGAUUUCCCAGUUUUUUUGGAACCUAAAAACGGUUACUGUUAUUCUAAUUUUAUUCCCAGGUAUCUGGUUUCGGUUACCUUAACGAUUUUUAAGUUACCAUAAAACGUUAUAAUAAUACAAUAUGUUUUGACAGGUUAAGAACCAAUUACUGAUUUUUAAUUAUUAUUAUUAUUAUUAUACCGAGUACCAACUACUGUUACUUAUGAGUUAUGAACUAUUCAACUAUACUAUGUUUAAAUAAUCUUAGCUACCUAAAUAAUGAUGAGUUUGUAGCUAGGUACUAUAAUUAUUGAUAUUUCACUUCUUAAAACUAUUUUUAAAUCAUAAUACACGCAUAAGUAUAAUAAAAUUGUUUUUAGAAAACCGAUAUUGAAUUAGUUACCGGUACCUAACCAACAUUUUUUUGAAGUGGUUAUAGCUUAAUCGGUAACGUUUAUAAUGAAUAAAAGACUGGUCAUAAUAUUACUACUAACAACAUGACUGGAUGAAAACUGACAAUUUCUGAAAUGGUUUUAAUCCCAAACGUUUAUUAUAUUUCUAAUAUUUUACAUUAAGUCCAUAUGAAACAAUAUAACAUUAAUUUUUUUCUUUUAUUAUUUGAAAUAAACAAUCUAUAACUUAGGGACACAAUAGGUUUAUGUGGUUAGAAUACUCGCGUAUACAUAUAAAUUAACAGGCUAAACUUGAUAUGAGAAUUCAUCCACUAAUGACACUCACUAUUAUUAUAUUGAUAACUAAUUAUUAUAAUUUUUAUUUAUUGUAGUUGAAUUUGCGAAG